GUACUGCCAAAAAAGAGAGACAUUUAUCACUGUACUGGACAAGGAUGGAAAAAAUCAUCUCUUUCUAACAAAUAUAUAUACUACGUUUUACUUUUU
rnacentral:ncRNA from 1 species